AUUGAACGCUGGCGGCAGGCCUAACACAUGCAAGUCGAGCGGGGUUUUCGGACCUAGCGGCGGACGGGUGAGUAAUGCGUAGGAAGCUACCCGAUAGAGGGGGAUACCAGUUGGAAACGACUGUUAAUACCGCAUAAUGUCUACGGACCAAAGGGUGGGACCUUCGGGCCACAUGCUAUCGGAUGUGCCUACGUGGGAUUAGCUAGUUGGUGAGGUAAUGGCUCACCAAAGCGACGAUCCCUAGCUGGUCUGAGAGGAUGAUCAGCCACACUGGAACUGAGACACGGUCCAGACUCCUACGGGAGGCAGCAGUGGGGAAUAUUGGACAAUGGGCGCAAGCCUGAUCCAGCCAUGCCGCGUGUGUGAAGAAGGCCUUCGGGUUGUAAAGCACUUUCAGUAAGGAGGAAGCGUUGAGUGUUAAUAGUACUCAGCGUUGACGUUACUUACAGAAGAAGCACCGGCUAACUCUGUGCCAGCCGCCGCCGUAAAAC
rnacentral:rRNA from 1 species